GCAGGGUAGGGGCAGUUUCUAGAAUGGCUGUUAUUACCUGGGUUCACUACAUCACAUAUAGCCCCUCAUCAGUGGACUGGGUAUUAUUGAGAGCAGAAUUUUACUAAAAAUGGCCUAAGAAUAUUCCCCCAUUUGUACUCCAUUAAAUCUCUUAACUCAUGAAGUCAGCAGCACUGAAGGGCAGUGAGAUAACAGCUUUCCUUUCAGAAGAACUGGAUUGAAAGUACGGGAUGGCUGCCAAGUCAACUCUUCCAAGAAUAAUCCCUGGCUGUGAAUUGCAGGAAUAGAACCGGUGUGAUUUGUAAACAAGCUAAGGAAGUAAAAGAUCUGCCAAUCUAGAAGAUGUCAGCUACACUAAGUUGAACACAAGCAAGCAGCAGUGCUGGAGCCUGCUUGUUUGCAGUUAAAAGAGUUUGGGUUUCCGGUGGGGGCUUCCCUCUCUCCCAGGAUAUUCCAUAUUCUUACAAGCUCAAGAGAGGUAGGACUUCACCCAGGAAUCACUGUAACACACAUCUAUCCUAACAUGAACAGAACCCCUGUGUCAUUGCAAAGAAGCAAGCAGUGGGAAAUUACAUAAACCCCAGAUGCCUCAAAGGAAUUCUGUCUCCUCCUCUGCCCCUCC